rnacentral:rRNA from 1 species
UACGGAGGGAGCUAGCGUUGUUCGGAAUUACUGGGCGUAAAGCGCACGUAGGCGGCUUUGUAAGUUAGAGGUGAAAGCCCGGGGCUCAACUCCGGAACUGCCUUUAAGACUGCAUCGCUUGAAUCCGGGAGAGGUGAGUGGAAUUCCGAGUGUAGAGGUGAAAUUCGUAGAUAUUCGGAAGAACACCAGUGGCGAAGGCGGCUCACUGGACCGGUAUUGACGCUGAGGUGCGAAAGCCAGGGGAGCAAACGGG